UUGACAGCACUAGACAAUGAAGGUUCCUUUAUCCCCCAGAAAACUACCGUGCAGGCAGGCAAACUUCCCCAAAACUGUCCUGCCAAUGUGCUGCUUUGACCUGGAGGGGGAGCACCUUUAUGGUGACAGGAUAAUUUGAUCUCUGUGCCAUUUAAUCCUUAUUCUCA
rnacentral:sRNA from 1 species